rnacentral:tRNA from 1 species
GGGUGAUUAGCUCAGCUGGGAGAGCACCUCGCUUACAAGGAGGGGGUCGGCGGUUCGAUCCCGUCAUCACCCACCA